rnacentral:rRNA from 1 species
GUCUACAGCCAUACCACCCUGAACAAGCCCGAUCCUGUCUCAUCUCAGAAGCUAAGCAGGGUUGGACCUGGUUAGAACUUGGAUGGGAGACCACAUAAGAAGACCAGGUGCUGUAAGCA